rnacentral:lncRNA from 1 species
GUAGAGAAGCUGAGAUGAAACAAAUGGAUGCUGGAAUGUAAAAGAGUAAGUAAGAUAAACCAGUGAAUAUGCCUUCUUGUAGUUUAAUGUGGACCAAAUGAAUUACAAAACCAGUGGGAAGGACUGGUAGAGCUGGACACUUGUCUUCAGGUCACUUUGUCAUCAGGUGACCAAGAAGGUUAAGUGGGUCAGAAGAGGCAGAGGAUGAAGUUUAGGAAUGAGAGAAGAGGAAAUAGGAAGACAUGGUGCUAGCGUGGAGUCAGAGGGGUCUGAAUGAGCCCAUGCAGUGCAGUGCUGCGUAGAUCUGGGGAGGGAGCACACCUUCUUUAGACAUCCUCUAGAAGCAGACGUUCCUUACUCACUCCUGGGGCUGAACUUGCACUUGUGCACCAGUGUAUCUUGCAGCAGUUAGGAGAGUUGACUGCACUGGGGACACUGCUGCUGCUGCAGUCCCCCUGGACUCCUUGCUUAUCCUCCAUCACCGAGGGACCUUCUUCCUGUGCCCCAGCAAUUGCCAUUAGCAUUUAUAAUCCAUUUCCCAAGUGUAUUAAACAGUUACAAAUGUAAAAUGAAAAUUAUUUCAUUUCCCACCAUGGAGAGAGUUAAAGGAACAUAAGGGAUUAUGCCUGUUUUGUGGAUCCAGUAGCUCAUGUUUUUUAACAGCACUAUAUGCUAGACAUCUUGAAGUGCUUAUUUACAAGGAAUUUCUUUGGUUUUUCUUCCCUUGAUAUUUUAAGCAAGUGUGAGCAGAUGUAGUUACAACAUGGUAGAGCCUAGACAGUCUAUUUGUUACAUAAAUUAUGCACUUGGGAUGGUUCUCAAAGAGAAGAGACCAGAUUCAGUGAUAUCUAUGCCCAGUAAAUCAAAGUGAAAAUAAUGCAGCUAAGUGAUGUCUCUGUCAGAUGCUUAAUUUACU